rnacentral:rRNA from 1 species
UACGUAGGGUGCGAGCGUUGUCCGGAAUUAUUGGGCGUAAAGAGCUUGUAGGCGGUUUGUCGCGUCUGCCGUGAAAGCCCAGGGCUUAACCCUGGGUCUGCGGUGGGUACGGGGCAGACUAGAGUGUGGUAGGGGAGACUGGAAUUCCUGGUGUAGCGGUGAAAUGCGCAGAUAUCAGGAGGAACACCGAUGGCGAAGGCAGGUCUCUGGGCCACUACUGACGCUGAGAAGCGAAAGCAUGGGGAGCAAAACAGG